rnacentral:rRNA from 1 species
AAUAAUUUAUUUGAUGGUUCCUUACUACACGGAUAACUGUAGUAAUUCUAGAGCUAAUACGUGCGUAAAAUCCCGACUCUUGCGGGGAGGGAUGUAUUUAUUAGAUAAAAAGCCAGCGCGGGUUCUGCCCGGUUUUGUGGUGAAUCAUAGUAACUUUUCGAAUCGCAUGGCUUCACGCCGGCGAUAGUUCAUUCAAAUUUCUGCCCUAUCAGCUUUCGACGGUAGUGUAGUGGACUACCGUGGCAUUAACGGGUAACGGAGAAUUAGGGUUCGAUUCCGGAGAGGGAGCCUGAGAAACGGCUACCACA